rnacentral:rRNA from 1 species
CCUACGGGUGGCAGCAGUGGGGAAUAUUGGACAAUGGGCGAAAGCCUGAUCCAGCCAUGCCGCGUGUGUGAAGAAGGCCUUCAGGUUGUAAAGCACUUUCAGUGGGGAAGAAAGCCUUGGGGCUAAUACCCUCGAGGAAGGACAUCACCCACAGAAGAAGCACCGGCUAACUCCGUGCCAGCAGCCGCGGUAAUACGGAGGGUGCGAGCGUUAAUCGGAAUUACUGGGCGUAAAGCGCGCGUAGGCGGUCUGAUAAGCCGGUUGUGAAAGCCCCGGGCUCAACCUGGGAACGGCAUCCGGAACUGUCAGGCUAGAGUGCAGGAGAGGAAGGUAGAAUUCCCGGUGUAGCGGUGAAAUGCGUAGAGAUCGGGAGGAAUACCAGUGGCGAAGGCGGCCUUCUGGACUGACACUGACGCUGAGGUGCGAAAGCGUGGGUAGCAAACAGGAUUAGAUACCCUUGUAGUC